rnacentral:rRNA from 1 species
UACGUAGGGUGCAAGCGUUAAUCGGAAUUACUGGGCGUAAAGCGCGCGCAGGCGGUUAUGUAAGACAGAUGUGAAAUGCCCGGGCUUAACCUGGGAACUGCAUUUGUGACUGCAUGGCUAGAGUUUGGCAGAGGGGGGUAGAAUUCCACGUGUAGCAGUGAAAUGCGUAGAUAUGUGGAGGAACACCGAUGGCGAAGGCAGCCCCCUGGGUCAAGACUGACGCUCAUGCACGAAAGCGUGGGGAGCAAACAGG